rnacentral:rRNA from 1 species
AGUGAACGCUGGCGGUAGGCCUAACACAUGCAAGUCGAACGGCAGCACAGUAAGAGCUUGCUCUUACGGGUGGCGAGUGGCGGACGGGUGAGGAAUACAUCGGAAUCUACUUUUUCGUGGGGGCUAACGUAGGGAAACUUACGCUAAUACAGCAUAAGACCUACGAGUUAAAGCCGGGGCUCUUCGGACCUUGCGCGAUUGAAUGAGCCGAUGUCGGAUUAGCUAGUUGGCGGGGUAAAGGCCCGCCCAGGCGACGAUCCGUAGCUGGUCUGAGAGGAUGAUCAGCCACAUUGGAACUGAGAAACGGCCCAGACGCCUACGGGAGGCAGCAGUGGGGAAUAUUGGACGAUGGGCGCAAGCCUGAUCCAGCCAUACCGCGUGGGUGAAGAAGGCCUUCGGGUUGUAAAGCCCUUUUGUUGGGAAAGAAAAGCAGCAGGUUAAUACCCCGCUGUUCUGACGGUACCCAAAGAAUAAGCACCGGCUAACUUCGUG